rnacentral:rRNA from 1 species
UACGUAGGUGGCAAGCGUUGUCCGGAAUUAUUGGGCGUAAAGCGUGCGCAGGCGGCUUUGCAAGACAGAUGUGAAAUCCCCGGGCUUAACCUGGGAACUGCAUUUGUGACUGCAUGGCUGGAGUGCGGCAGAGGGGGAUGGAAUUCCGCGUGUAGCAGUGAAAUGCGUAGAUAUGCGGAGGAACACCGAUGGCGAAGGCAGCCCUCCGGCGGUCUGCACUGACGCUCAUGCACGAAAGCGUGGGGAGCAAACAGG